UGGAGAGAGAAUGAGAAAGAGUGAAUGUUGUGGGAAGGAGGGAAUGGGGAUGGGGUGCCACAGCCUUCAAAGCCACCAGAAGCCUCUGAGAUAUCAGGCCAUGGUGGAGACCAGCUCCUACCUCUUGUCACCUCCUAUGCCUUUAAGAUGUGACCAGGCCAGGAAUGGGCUGAGCUCAAACUGCUCCCUGAAAUUGGGAACCCCCAAGCCAACACAAGCACCAGCUUCCAGCCAUACCCUGAGCUCCUGGCCACACCCUGGCCCCACGGCUGCUCCCCAUGCACACACCAAGGACUGGCCAAGCCCUUCCUUAGGGAGAAUGCAUGCCUGUCUCUGGAUGGCACCAGGAAUGAGACAAAGAGCAGGAAGAACACUGUGCUGAGAGGGCUGUGUAGAGCUGCAGCACUGUUUAAGCACCCAAGGGGAUGAUGGCACAAGUGCAAGUCAUCAGAUGUUCUGCUGUCAGAAGCAGGUAUGUAAGUCCAGCCUCAUGCCAGGGCAUCCUGGUGCCUUCAGCACCUGACAGCCUGCUCCCACUCCCUCCACGGCUCCCCCACAGCCAGCAGCUCUGGCAGCAGUGUGAAGACAGGCAGGGGAGCAGCAGACAGGUCUCAGGGUCCCAGAGGAUAGGGGGAACCUUCCAGCUCAUUCUGGGCUUCUCCACAUGACCUGGCAGCCAGACACAUCCCAUCUCAUGACCAGAACCCCAGGUGGAUCCCUUGGCCCACCUCCCCCUCCCCAGAUCCCUGCCUCAUUAGCUCAAUCGACAAUACAAUUAAGGAGUCGACAAGGAGAGGAACGUGUCAGAUUGAGACCAGCAGCUCAGUGCUGUUGCCAGAGCAACCAGCCAGGAGACAAACCCUUCCUGUUAAACAUUAAUCAUUGUUAAUUAUGACAUCACAGAUCCAUGUGGUUAAUUAUGACAUCACAGCUCCACACUGUUAAUUACAAUACCUCAGCAAAUACUGGGCAGGCUCUUUCAUCAUGGCCCUCCCUGCUCUACCUCCUCCCUGUCUGCCUUGUACCAGUGGGAAGUGAGUGCCAGGCUCUGUCAUUUCCCAGCACCUCCAUCCAUGCUGGACUGAACACCCGUGCUGAGGAUUAUGCCCCACACCAGGAGGGAAACCAAGAGGAGUCCUCAGUGGAGGACUGAGGCUUGCCACCAACAGGGCUGGGAAGUGGCAAAUGGGAGCCUCUCUGCAGUCAUCACUAUCCUAGCUGCCAGCAGAACUGCUUGUAAAUGGCAGUCCUCUGCCUCCUGAGCAGCAUCAUCCCACGGUCCUGCCGGCUGAGUGACGGCUGUUCCGGGAGGAUCGAGCAGUGGUAGCAGGAUGAGGGGUAGCCAGAAAGGAUCCACAGACACAGUGCACCCCACUGCUUCAUCCCACCUGGAUGGCAUAUUGGCUUACUCCAGGAAAAGAACCUGAGCCUCUACCCUCUCACCUUGGCAACCCUUUUGGCAGCUGGCACAGGUCGGCCCCUCCCCAGGUGACCCCUCCCAUGGAAAGCAGGAAAGAACCACUGCCCACUAACACGCACCGCCUUUGCUGCAGCAUCAGGGAGCACCUCGACACGGAAACUGCAUUUACUCUAAGUUAAAAAGGAUGUUGUGCACGCUGCAGCGAGGCGCUCGCUGAAGGGGACAGCAGCCACCGAGUGGGCGGCAGGAAGGCGGGAGAUGCUGUCCCACCUGACAGGACCUCGGCAGGGCAGUGGGUCAGCAGGGAGCCUCAGGGAAAAUCGAGAGCUGCAGGGGAUGAAAGGGAGUGGGCAGACCCUGAGCCUUGAAGACAAAUUAGGGUUUGCAAGGUAUUUGGUGGUAACCUGAAAAGAAGAAAUAAUCUGAUUUGGCCACACUGGUGGCCUGAGGUGACAUGGACAUGUUCCACCAUGGCUUCAUGACAGCUCAUGUCAUCUGUGGUCAUCUUGUGUCCCUCUAAGACCCGAGGGGACAGGAGUGACACCAACCCCCCAAGCAGUGCCCUUCCUACUCAGCACCUUUCCCCUGGCACCCCAGGAAAUGUUUUGGCUCAGAAGCUGUCAUGUAACCCCAUGACACAAAGCAAAGAAGCUCCUGAGGAGAGGAGCAGCAGCUCAGGAACAAGAAGACAGGGAUGAAGCUGACCUACACACUGCUCCAAGCCACCACCGUAGGAAAGCACUGCUGUCCUCACUCUCAUAGCCACCUUCCUUUCCCUUGCUCCAAGGGCAACAAUAAAUUGAGUCCUGUUUCCCUUCAGCCAGGCACUUUGUCACUGCUCUGUCACUUCUGAUCAUGUUCGAGCAGCCUCAGCUGGCAAAUUUGCCCAUUCAGUAGCCUUGCUCUCCUCUCCACAGGAGAAGGCUGGCUCUGGCAUGGCCACUCAGCCUGGCAAGGAUAAAUGUCUGGGGUGGGCAGGGCAAGAGAGCUACUGCUCUGGGACCAUGUGGGGUCAGUUCUGAUGGAGGGAUGUGGCAGGAACAUCCAGAUGUCCAAACAGGGAGGCCAGGAAGUCAGUGCAAGGGGCUCCAAGAGGGCAACCAAAGCCCUGUGGGAGGGCAAGCAGGGAUUCAGCUCUUAUCUCACAGGCAUAGGCUUCCAGCAGCUGCUACACCCACUUGUCCAUCCUCCACACACUUUGUUGUCUGCCCAUGAACCACUGCCUGUUCCUUGCAUCCACCUUCCCAAGGCUGGUCCUUACACCAGGAGCCAGUCCAACACCCUGAUCCAGCAUGGCUUUUCCCUCUGGCACAUUGUGAGGUAGCAGCCAUGCUGUUGAAACUCGCCCUUGACCUUGCUUGCUCAAGGAUGGCACAGGCAUACCACUGCACUCU